rnacentral:rRNA from 1 species
UACAGAGGUCUCAAGCGUUGUUCGGAUUCAUUGGGCGUAAAGGGUGCGUAGGCGGCGCGGUAAGUCGGGUGUGAAAUCUCGGAGCUUAACUCCGAAACUGCAUUCGAUACUGCCGUGCUUGAGGACUGGAGAGGAGACUGGAGUUUACGGUGUAGCGGUGAAAUGCGUAGAUAUCGUAAGGAAGACCAGUGGCGAAGGCGGGUCUCUGGACAGUUCCUGACGCUGAGGCACGAAGGCCAGGGGAGCAAACGGG